UACGGGGGGAGCAAGCGUUGUUCGGAUUUACUGGGCGUAAAGGGCGCGUAGGCGGCCUGUGCAAGUCAGUUGUGAAAUCUCCGAGCUUAACUCGGAAAGGUCAACUGAUACUGCUCGGCUAGAGUGCGGAAGGGGCAACUGGAAUUCUUGGUGUAGCGGUGAAAUGCGUAGAUAUCAAGAGGAACACCUGCGGCGAAGGCGGGUUGCUGGGCCGACACUGACGCUGAAGCGCGAAAGCUAGGGGAGCGAACGGG
rnacentral:rRNA from 1 species